AAUCGUGGAGGCCAUUCACGGAUCACCCGCUACCGCCGCCCCGCCACUCCUGGCCCCUCCAUGGCGAUGGAGUCGGUCGCCGCCCCAUCCGUCCGCUCCCUCCCUCAGCUCUCCUUCUUCCAAGGAUUAGCUCCACCGCCGGCGCCCCAUCCCUCUGCUCCUCCCCUGAACUCAUCUUCUCCGGGCGCCUCCAUCCCGUCCAUUGAGUAGCCGGUAUCCGGCGAGAUCUGUGGAGGACCACAUGAGCCCGUCCAUGUCCGUGAGGAGGAGAAUGGCGGCAGAAGGAGCACGACAGCAGCCGGAAUUGGCAGGAGUUCAGGACGGGAGCAAGGAGCUGCACGCCUGGCGAUGCCGCAAGCCGAGGGGCCACCGCACAAAUUCUGUAUAUAGAUUGCAGUGCUUGUGGAAUAUGUCCUGUUUUUUGCACCGCACAAAUUCAAAUCAAUCCUUCUAAGUGAUCCGGUAUAACUGAGUUUGGAGUAUGUACAUUUAUCUUGCUACAGCUGGACCUCUGAGAGACUUAGUAAGAUGAACUUCUAAGUGAUGUUUUGCUUGAGGUGCAUGAUUGUGACAUAGUGGGGAUAUAACAUCAUUGUACUAA